rnacentral:rRNA from 1 species
UACGGGGGGGGGCAAGCGUUGUUCGGAAUUACUGGGCGUAAAGGGCUGGUAGGCGGCCAACUAAGUCGGAUGUGAAAUCCCCAGGCUUAACCUGGGAACUGCAUCCGAUACUGGUCGGCUUGAAUCCGGGAGAGGGAUGCAGAAUUCCAGGUGUAGCGGUGAAAUGCGUAGAUAUCUGGAGGAAUACCGGUGGCGAAGGCGGCCAACUGGACGGUGACUGACACUGAGACGCGAAAAGCGUGGGGGAGCAAACAGG